CCCCUCUCAGGGUCGCACCUGGAGAGUUUCCAGUCCUCUACCAGUCUUGACCGUGUGAGGGAGAGGCAAGCAGAGGUCUAUCCAUUCCACUCCUAGCUUAGGCAGUGGCUAGCGAGUGGCAGACAAUCUGCUUCAGGU
rfam:Ornithorhynchus anatinus chromosome 4, whole genome shotgun sequence.